rnacentral:rRNA from 1 species
UGGGGAAUUUUGGACAAUGGGCGCAAGCCUGAUCCAGCCAUGCCGCGUGCGGGAAGAAGGCCUUCGGGUUGUAAACCGCUUUUGUCAGGGAAGAAAUCUUCUGAGUUAAUACCUCGGGAGGAUGACGGUACCUGAAGAAUAAGCACCGGCUAACUACGUGCCAGCAGCCGCGGUAAUACGUAGGGUGCAAGCGUUAAUCGGAAUUACUGGGCGUAAAGCGUGCGCAGGCGGUUUUGUAAGACAGAGGUGAAAUCCCCGGGCUCAACCUGGGAACUGCCUUUGUGACUGCAAGGCUUGAGUGCGGCAGAGGGGGGAUGGAAUUCCGCGUGUAGCAGUGAAAAUGCGUAGAUAUGCGGAGGAAACACCGAUGGCGAAGGCAAUCCCCUGGGCCUGCACUGACGCUCAUGCACGAAAAGCGUGGGGAGCAAAACAGGAUUAGAUACCCCUGGUAGUCCACGCCCUAAAACGAUGUCAACUGGUUGUUGGGAAGGUUCCUUCUCAGU